rnacentral:misc_RNA from 1 species
AGCAGCCGCGGUAAUUCCAGCUCCAAUAGCGUAUAUUAAAGUUGUUGCAGUUAAAAGCUCGUAGUUGAAUUUCGGGGUUAGUAGGUUGGCCAUGCCUCUGGUAUGUACUGGUCUCACUGAUUCCUCCUUCCUGAUGAGCCGUAAUGCCAUUAAUUUGGUGUUGCGGGGAAUUUGGACUGUUACUUUGAAAAAUUAGAGUGUUUAAAGCAAGCUAACGCUUGAAUACAUUAGUAUGGAAUAAUGAAAUAGGACGUUCGAUCCUAUUUUGUUGGUUUCUAGGAUUGACGUAAUGAUUAAUAGGGAUAGUUGGGGGCAUUAGUAUUCAAUUGUCAGAGGUGAAAUUCUUGGAUUUAUUGAAGACUAACUACUGCGAAAGCAUUUGCCAAGGAUGUUUUCAUUAAUCAAGAACGAAAGUUAGGGAUCGAAGACGAUCAGAUACCGUCGUAGUCUUAACCAUAAACUAUGCCGACUAGGGAUCGGAUGAUGUUAAUUUUUUAAUGUACUCAUUCGGCGCCUUAAC